GGCAAAUGUCAAGCCAUAAGCAAUCUCACUGUUUCUGUACCUCACUUCCUAUUCCUGUAAGUCACUGUACCUUUUUUUGUUCAUAAAUUUGUUCCAACUAUGAGGCACCCCUGGAGUCUCUGUGAAUCUGCUGUGAUUCUGGGGGCUGCCCAAUUUGUGAAUCGUUUACUGCUCAAUUCAACUCCUUUAAAUUUAAUUCAGCUGAAGUUUUUCUUUUAUCAGAUGGUGUCAGAAGCGGGAUCUGAAGUGCAGCUUCUAGCAUCCCCCAGCAGUGCUGAAUGAACACUCAAGGUACCUGCAGGACCCACUUGUGUCCAUUGAUCUCUCAGAGCCACUGGGGAUCAUGGGUGCAAACAGUGUCACCGUGAACUACUGGACAGGAUGUACCCUGCACACUGGCUCCUAGCCAAGAAGAAAAUGGGGCCAAACGGAUUGCCAAGCCAUGCACUGGGAGCAGAUGCUUCACGUGGAUCAAGAGGCUUCUGCCCAGAGGGCCUUUCUAUAAUUUAUGCAAAGAACACAAAUGGGCUGUUAACCCUAGCCAAAUCUACAACAUUGAUGCAAUUUGGAGAUAUUCUCCAUUAAGUGCUAUUCCCACAUGACUCAGGAAGAGAGGUGGCGAGUGGCAGAUGAAGGCGAUGCUCCUCCAUUAAAAUGACAGAGUCAGCAGAGAGGCUACAACUGAGGAGCUUUCAUAAAUCACAAAUCACAGGAUUUACAAUUUGGGGAACUAUAAGAGGAGAUAAACAACAAACUGAGGUUUUUGAGAUAUUGGGAAUGUUGCUGACCUGUAAUACUGAUUCCUAUUGUGAAUUCCUUUUAUUAUGUACUUAUUUUUUCAUAGUAGUAGAUAUUAUACUGCCUAUAUUCCUUUCUGAUAAUUUUGGGAACAUAGAACAGCAAGAUUUUGAUAUUUGUAACAUUUAGCAUCUGAGUGCAAGUGACAACCCCAAAGCAAGAGUGGCUUAGAGAAGGCAGAUAUUUAUUUCUCUGUCAAUUAACAGGAGGCAGAAGCAGGCAGUUUAAUAAAGAGACACCACAAUCAGGUGGGACUAAGGUUUGUUCUACCAGGUCUUUUUGUCACCCUAACAUGGUUUCCAACUCAAACUCCAAGAUAGCUGCUCCAGAUGGAGACCUCACAUCUGCACUCCCUGCAGGAAGGAGGAAGGGUCUGACCUUUCCUUUAAGGGGGAACACUUCCUGUAGCUGGUACACAACACUUCUACUUAGAUCUGACUGGCCAGAAUUUAGUCCUAUGGCCAUGUGUCUCUAUAAGGAAGACUAAAAUGUAAAUUUUAUUUUGGACAACCAUAUGCCCAGCUAAAAAUUAGUGGUUCCAUUACCAAAGAAGUAGGAGAGGAUGAAUAUUGGGAAACAAUUAGCCGUCUCUGCAAUAACCUUUUAAUAGUUUGCUCUAGAUGCUAUAGAGGCUAGAUUUUUCCAUUUUGUUUUGUUUCUUAUUGAUUUUCUUAAAGAAAAAUACUAGAUAUUUACGUAUAAACAAUACUAUUUUUUUCUGUCAUAUUUGCGACUAAUAAAUUUCAAUGCUACUUUUUAAAGUCUUUUAAAUUCAGUUAAUGUUUAUUAAAGGAGAGAUAUAAAAUGCUUAUAUUGUCAAAUUUACUAACCAUAAAUGUUGGGAUUUUUUUCCCAUUGCUUUUAAGUGUAUAAAAUGUUUUCUAUCCUGAGAUCCAGAGACUGGGAUCAAUAACCACCUUCAUUUUCUUCUACUUUAUUUUUUGUUUAACUUAAUUAGGUAUAUGGUAUGAGGAAAGUCUCUAAAUCCGUAAUUAUUUUCUAAAUAGCCACUGUAGAUCUUUGUUAUUUAUUAAUCUUUUUCUUUUGCAUUGAUUUGUAGUGUCUUAUUCAUUAUAUAAUUACACAAACAAAAAUAAUAUAUGUAUUUUUAACUUACCCUGUUUCACUGGUGCCAGAAAUGUUUUUGUAGCAGAAUAUUUGCUUGUGAUGAGGAAUUUUGUUGAAAAGUAUUUGGAUGUCCUUCUGGCACAGUUAUCACCAUUUAUUACCUAGAGAUAAAAACAUUUCUCUCUUUUUUAAAAAGUGAAUUUAGAAAAUGCUUCUCCACAUGAAUGUCCUGUAAGCACUUCAAACUCAGUAUGCCCAAAAGAAACCCAUCAUUUUGUAGCCUCAUUACAACUCUCCUCCUGUAAUGUUUCCCAGGACGGUUAAUGGUGUAGCUUUUAUCCAAUCUCCCUAGCUACAAACCUCAGCAUCACUUUCCUUCUGCAUUUCUUCCGCUAUUCCCCAGUGUUUGCUAAUCUGUCCUGCAAUGUUACCAGAAUCAGUUUUUUUUUUUAAUUUUUAAUUUUAUUUUUAAUUUAAUUUUUUUUUGGAAGACGGAGUUUCGCUGUUGUCACCCAGGCUGGAGUGCAGUGGCACAAUCUCGGCUCACUGUAACCUCUGCCUCCCGGGUUCAAGUGAUUCUCUUGCCUCAGCCUCCCGAGUAGCUGGGGUUACAUGCGGCUGCCACCGUGCCCGGCUAUUUUUUGUAUUUUUAGUAGAGAUGGGGUUUCACCAUGUUGGCCAGGCUGGCCUCAAACUCCUGACCUCAUGUGAUCUGCCCGCCUCGGCCUCUCAAAGUGCUGGGAUUACAAGCGCGAGCCACCGUGCCCGGCCCAGAAUCAGUUUUCUCCAUUUGUUGCCACUGCCUCUACUCUCAGGGUUGCACCUUCUCUACCCUGGAUGCUGAGAACAGCUCCAGCCUCUCACCUGUCCAUCCUCUGCAUAGGUAUCAGUUAUCUCCCUAAAUUACAGAUUCAAAUACAUUACUUCUUCUGCUCUUAAUCCUUGAGUGGCUUCCCAUCAUCUUUGGAAUAGAGUUCAAACUCAUUAACAUGAUAUUCAAAGCUGAACACAAGGUAGGUCUACAGCAAACUUUCUUUUCCCCACUCUUCACUCCUGGCUGCCCAUGAAACCUGUGUUCUGUCACCCAGGUAAAUGGCUCACCUUUACUUUUGAAUAUUUACACAUCCUUUUCCCUUGAGCUGUUUUGCGCAUAAACACCUUUCCCUCUCUGUUUGCAUAACCCAC
rnacentral:lncRNA from 1 species